rnacentral:rRNA from 1 species
AAACCAACAGGGAUUGCCCUAGUAACGGCGAGUGAAGCGGCAACAGCUCAAAUUUGAAAUCUGGCGUCUUUGGCGUCCGAGUUGUAAUUUGCAGAGGGCGCUUUGGCAUUGGCAGCGGUCCAAGUUCCUUGGAACAGGACGUCACAGAGGGUGAGAAUCCCGUACGUGGUCGCUAGCCUUUACCGUGUAAAGCCCCUUCGACGAGUCGAGUUGUUUGGGAAUGCAGCUCUAAAUGGGAGGUAAAUUUCUUCUAAAGCUAAAUACUGGCCAGAGACCGAUAGCGCACAAGUAGAGUGAUCGAAAGAUGAAAAGCACUUUGGAAAGAGAGUUAAAAAGCACGUGAAAUUGUUGAAAGGGAAGCGCUUGCAGCCAGACUUGCCUGUAGUUGCUCAUCCGGGUUUUUACCCGGUGCACUCUUCUACAGGCAGGCCAGCAUCAGUUUGGGCGGUUGGAUAAAGGUCUCUGUCACGUACCUCCUCUCGGGGAGAACUUAUAGGGGAGACGUAAUGCAACCAGCCUGGACUGAGGUCCGCGCAUCUGCUAGGAUGCUGGCGUAAUGGCUGUAAGCGGC